UACCCAUGAUGUGGGCAAGACUCUAACAACCUCUUGAAUCUAUUCCAGUACUCAUAAAGUGUCUCUUGGUCUCUUUGCAUAAAACCAGAAAUUUCCUUUCGGAUGUA